rnacentral:rRNA from 1 species
AUGGUUGAGAAGGUUUGUUUGCUUUAUGGCUCCCGACGGGCUCAAUUGGCCACUGUUGCUAUUCGAUUAGGUGGACUACCAUUCUCCUCGCCCACGUCUGCUUGCUUGUUUGAUUUCUUUGUGGAUGUCUCGCUGCCCUUUGCAUGUCUAAAAUGGUUGAUUCUCUUCAUGUUGCUCUACCCGUGCGUCGUGUUUCUACGUGUGAUUUCUUACUGCAGCUUUUUGCAUUUCUUUGUUAAUUCAUGCGUACAAAAUGAGUUUUGUUGUGUUUUCUAUAAUCCCUAUUUUGGAGAACAUGAAGAUGUGGUUUGCUUUGACACGCUUUUCUAUGUGUGUGAGGUUGCAGACUAA